rnacentral:misc_RNA from 1 species
GUACGACCGAAGUGAUCGACCGCUUGUUUUAUCGAUACAAUUUGUGCCCGUGUGGAACUUUCCUUUUCAUGCUCUACGAACAAGUUUAUCGAAUAGUGCCUAUAAUUUUAUAAGUUCGCAUCGUUUCAACGUCGUGCCAACGCGCAAAACGCGAUGUUUCGAGUGCCUGAAAGCUACACGCGCACACACCGUUGAAAUAACGGAUUCUUUUUCUCAGUGAAACGCCUUCGAUAUUCGAGUGACGCGCUGAGAUAUCGAUAGAAGGCAAUGGGUACAACGCCGAGUCGCUAUGAAGAUCUCUCCAAGAAUGUACAUUUGGAAAAAUUCUGUGGGAAGCAGAGUAUACUCACCGAUGAUUCAUUUUGGAAUACAUUUCUAUCCUAUAAUAUGCGCCCUCCUAUCACAAGAAAUGAUCAGAUAGAACUUGACUCUCGUUUGGAUUUGUCAUGCCAGCGGUUGCUUGUCAAUAAUUUGACUACUGGCAACUUUGGCACCCUCAUACAAGUUGCUCUUAUGCGCAUCAACGAACUCCUUGCUCCUGUUCAAAAUCAAAAUAUAAUAUCGGCCUGGCAAACGUACAACGCGCUCUUUGCUGUCAGGUGUAUCUUGAAAUAUCUCAUUGAGACGGUCGGUGAGGAACAAAUGCUCAAGCAUAUCGAAGCACCGCUGACAACUGCGACGCACGAAGCGAUGUCCUCUUACAGACUGGAAGAAUUCUUCGAGGCUUUGAUAGAACUUAUUACGGAUGUACCUUUGUGUGAAUUUACAUACGUCGUUCACUUGGAAGCGAUUAAUUGUUUACUUGUGUUGCUCUCGGUGCAGCUGUUUUCCCAAACUGCAGCCGAAUACAGCGCCGUGUAUAGGAUAGCGAUGCAUGCGCAUUCCAGCAGCUGCAGCCAACAUGCGCCAGCUGUGGUGUGCACACUGUUGCACAAUUUUAUUCAACAGGAACACGCUCCUCCGGGACUGCUGACGCAACAACCCGGUGGUGGGAUUGUAUUCAGUAUUGCUGCUGGUCUCUGGAACGUCAUAAGAAUGGGUAUGGGCAGUGGUUUGAAGAACGUACAGAUUGCCCAUAAUGGCGCUACCGAGGACGAAGAGAAGAAGCGUGACACGGAGACUCCGCUCGCUAGUCAAUCCUUGUUGUUGCUGUUGGUUUUGACCAAUCAUUGCACCGCUAUACAAAACCCCUACAGAAGCGCACUUUUCUCUUUUAUAGAUAUGCAAGAAGAUUACAAUACGUCGCUGACAAAAGGAGCCGAUGCCUUCAAGUUUAAUCUUGAUAAAUUGUACAGUACUAUUUGUAAGAUACCAAACACAGACCAAGUCACGCUCCUGCUCUACAUGUUGUUGCACAGAAAUUCGAGCGUCAAGCAGGACAUAAUGAGAAGGCCUGACAUACAAUUACUGGUAACACCGAUAUUGCAGAUCCUGUAUCAUGCGCCAAACAAUACGUCGCAUCAUAUUUACAUGUCUCUCAUCAUCCUCCUCAUUUUGAGCGAAGAUGAAACGUUUAACAAGCGGAUACAUGAGAUUAUGCUCAAGGGUGUCGCGUGGUACACCGAAAGAUCCAUUAGCGAGAUAUCAUUGGGUGGUCUUUUGAUCCUCGUCGUUAUUCGCACGAUACAAUACAACAUGUUUAAAAUGAGAGACAAAUAUCUUCACACAAACUGUCUAGCAGCUCUGGCGAACAUGUCGGCUCAGUUCACGUCGCUACACCCUUAUGUCAGUCAGAGACUGCUGAGUCUGUUUGAAACACUUGCUAAGAAGCACGCGCGACUAGAGGCGAAGAUUCGAACGCAACCGACAACUUUGGCCGACAGUACCGUUGUAACUGUCAAUGGAGCUGUUGCCAGUACAGAUUUGAUUCAAGACUUGACCAUACUGGAAGAGGUUCUGCGGAUGGUGCUAGAAAUUAUAAAUAGCUGUUUAACCCAUAGACUCGCGCACAAUCCCAACUUGAUUUAUACCCUCCUCUACAAGAGAGAUGUUUUCCAACCGUUUAGAACACAUUCCGCUUUUCAAGAUAUCGUGCAAAAUAUCGAUUCUGUAAUAAACUUCUUCUCUUAUAAAUUGGAGCAAAAGGACCAGUCGCAAAUCGGCGUUAGUCAAGUACUAGCCACUAUACAACAAGGGACCUUGGAAUGGCCACGAGAUCGUUUGAGAAAAUUUCCGGAACUCAAGUUCAAGUAUGUAGAGGAGGAGCAACCGGAGGAGUUCUUCAUACCUUACGUGUGGAGCGUCGUUUGUCAAGGAGCGCUGUUGCACUGGAGCGCGGAGAACAUAAAAUUAUUUUCCCCCAACAAUGGCGAAACGACCAUUAUUGUUUGCUGAUAUUGAGACGAAGGAUGCACUGUGCUAUAAGUAUUAUAUUCAAAGUGAUAACUUAAGAUUGAUAAUAAGCGCGAUACCGUAAAUUUGUUUGUAACAUUCGUCGGAAGCUAAAGUGUAAUCUUCUUUCUUUUCCUUCCGAUGCGAAAGAACAGGGGAGUUUUCGGGAACUUUGUGACGAACGACGUGACGUGAAAACGUCUUAGCGCAGCAUACGCAAGGAGAAUAGAAAUAUUCAUCGAUAACCAAUGUGAUAUCUCAAGUAUCGUACAAAGAGAUCGAUGUGAUCGAAGAAUUAUUGCCUGAAACGAGACAUUUCUGACCAUAUUAGCGCUUCUUUCUAUUGUAUUCCUUCAAUACUUAUCACGAAAAUGGCAAGAAGAGGAGCGUACGAACAUAUUUAAGUUUGUUAAACGAUCGUCUUUUCGUUUUUCCGUUCGUAUUGUAUACUUUGUUCGACAAGGUGAGGAGAAAAAGGAAAGGAAAAUGGUAGUAUAAACUGGAUAUACUGAUAGAUAUUAUGAUGCCAGUGAAAUGCAGUGUUCUUGCACGAGGACUGAUUCGAGUUAUUGUUAUCGGAACAUUUGCCAUCAUAGACGCCGCUGUUACCGAACCGUGGAACUGUGGAUAGAAGCUAAUGUUACGAUAUUGAUUCUCUGUUAGUGUACACAUUUUACAGCGGUUACAAUGUUAUAAUAGUAUUUUGCAGCAUGAUACCUGCAGCGUAGCCCUGCAAUUUCUCGCGCGCUGUAUAUACGCUGUAUGUGCAAAUAUAUACAAUUUUUAUUUAACACACACACACACACACACACACACAAUAAAAAACACUCUUCUAUGAGAUAUGAUUGUCAAUGACCCACUGUCACUCGUUCGAAUCCGAGACAUGUAUGACUCAGGGAAGGGAGGGGAAAUAUGGGAAAGAAUAAAAAUAAAUUCAUCAACCACUUUUAACCGACGAGCCAAUUACAAAUGACACAUUGCGCGCAACGCGCAACAAUCAUCUGUGAGAUGUGAUUAUAUGCGUAUGAUCCAAUCGUUCGAAAGCGGUCGAAAACCCAUCGACAAUUCGCCGAGCGCGAUGAUGACCUGUCGGCUACAGAAUGGUCAUUUUGCAUAUAUCUCGAAUGUACAUCUUUAUUAAACAAAUACAGUUGACGUCUUAGUGUUAUUUA